UUUUAGAGACAAGUUCUCACUGUUGCCCAGGCUGAAGUGUGGUGCUAUUUAUAGGCAUGAUCAUAGCUCUUUCCCAUGCAGGAAUGAAAGACAUGGAGGGGAAGAGGGGGUCCAGCUCCCUGAGUCCUGUGUCCACCAGCUGCUGCUAAAUACCUCUGAGAAACUCUGCUUCUAGCUAAGGGGACCUACUUCCCUUGGGAAUCUCAAUACUUGAAACAAGAACCUCCUGGAUGGACCCUUCGGCAAAAUGAAUUGGACCAACUGUAGGUUCCAGGACUGGAGAGCCAGCAAUGCCUCCCUGGUCAAUCCCACCCAAUUACUCUGCUCAGGAAAUGAGGUAACUGACAGACAGCCAAGGCAGCCCCUUAGGCAGCUUAGGCCUCCCCUGUGGAGCAUCCCUGCCGGGGACUCUGGCCAGCCUGAGUGACGCGAUCCAAAGAGCACUC
rnacentral:sRNA from 1 species